GGCAUGGUGGCUUAGUGGUUAGCACGUUUGCCCUGUACCUCUCGGGUUGGGGGUUUAAAUCCCACCUAUGCCC